GUUUGUCAUGGCUCGCACGAAGCAGACAGCCCGCAAGUCGACCGGCGGCAAGGCCCCGCGCAAGCAGCUGGCCACCAAGGCGGCCCGCAAGAGCGCGCCGGCCACCGGCGGCGUCAAGAAGCCACACCGCUACCGGCCCGGCACGGUGGCCCUGCGCGAGAUCCGGCGCUACCAGAAGUCCACCGAGCUGCUGAUCCGCAAGCUGCCGUUCCAGCGGCUGGUGCGCGAGAUCGCGCAGGACUUCAAGACGGACCUGCGCUUCCAGAGCUCGGCCGUGAUGGCGCUGCAGGAGGCGUGCGAGGCCUACCUGGUGGGGCUCUUCGAGGACACCAACCUGUGCGCCAUCCACGCCAAGCGCGUCACCAUCAUGCCCAAGGACAUCCAGCUGGCGCGCCGCAUCCGUGGGGAGAGGGCGCGGGACGCCUCGCCCGCGAUGCGCUCGAAGAUGUCGUUGACGAACGAGUUCAUGAUGCCCAUGGCCUUGGACGAGAUGCCGCUCUCCUUGCGGCUGCGCUUGCGCUUCUUGCCGUCCUUCUUCUGCGCCUUGGUCACCGCCUUCUUGGAGCCCUUCUUCGGGGCCGGAGCCGAUUUGGCGGGCUCGGGCAUGGGCCGAGGUCCUCAUCCGGUUUCUUCUCUUCGCCGCUAAACCAUGGCUCGCACGAAGCAGACGGCCCGCAAGUCGACCGGCGGCAAGGCCCCGCGCAAGCAGCUGGCCACCAAGGCGGCUCGCAAGAGCGCGCCGGCCACCGGCGGCGUCAAGAAGCCGCACCGCUACCGGCCCGGCACGGUGGCCCUGCGCGAGAUCCGGCGCUACCAGAAGUCCACCGAGCUGCUGAUCCGCAAGCUGCCGUUCCAGCGGCUGGUGCGCGAGAUCGCGCAGGACUUCAAGACCGACCUGCGCUUCCAGAGCUCGGCCGUCAUGGCCCUGCAGGAGGCGUGCGAGGCCUACCUGGUGGGGCUCUUCGAGGACACCAACCUGUGCGCCAUCCACGCCAAGCGCGUCACCAUCAUGCCCAAGGACAUCCAGCUGGCGCGCCGCAUCCGCGGGGAGAGGGCGUAAAUGUGAUUUCCUGGUUCCGUGCCAACUUUAAACCCAAAGGCUCUUUUCAGAGC